CGUGGGUAACCUGCCCAAGAGACUGGGAUAACACCUGGAAACAGAUGCUAAUACCGGAUAACAACACUAGACGCAUGUCUAGAGUUUAAAGGAUGGUUCUGCUAUCACUCUUGGAUGGACCUGCGGUGCAUAGCUAGUUGGUAAGGUAACGGCUUACCAAGGCAAUGAUGCAUAGCCGAGUUGAGAGACUGAUCGGCCACAUUGGGACUGAGACACGGCCCAAACUCCUACGGGAGGCAGCAG
rnacentral:rRNA from 1 species